CUUGCUGUAACGUAGUGGUAACGUGCCUAUAUUGGGUGUAGGAAAUCAAAGGUUCAAAUCCUUUCAGCUUGA